rnacentral:rRNA from 1 species
GGGAGGGAUCAUGGCGGGUGCGAUCAUACCGGAUCCCAUCAGAGCUCCGCAGUUAAGCGCGCUCGGGCUAGAGUAGUACCGGGAUGGGUGACCUCCCGGGAAGUCCUAGUGUUGCACCGU